CGCGUAGGCGGGAUGGCAAGUCGGUCGUGAAAUCCUUCGGCUCAACCGAAGAACGUCGAUCGAUACUGCUGUUCUUGAGGGUUGCAGAGGAGACUGGAAUUCCCGGUGUAGCGGUGAAAUGUGUAGAGAUCGGGAGGAACACCGGUGGCGAAGGCGGGUCUCUGGGCAAUUCCUGACGCUGAGGCGCGAAAGCGUGGGGAGCAAACGGGAUUAGAUACCCCGGUAGUCCACGCUGUAAACGAUGACGACUAGGUGUGGGGGGGUUCAGUCCCUUCCGCGCCGCAGCUAACGCAUUAAGUCGUCCGCCUGGGGAGUACGGCGCAAGGUUGAA
rnacentral:rRNA from 1 species